rnacentral:rRNA from 1 species
UGGGGAAUAUUGGACAAUGGGCGCGAGCCUGAUCCAGCAAUGCCGCGUGUGUGAAGAAGGCCUUCGGGUUGUAAAGCACUUUUAUCAGGAGCGAAACGCUGUCGGCUAAUACCCGGCGGAACUGACGGUACCUGAGGAAUAAGCACCGGCUAACUUCGUGCCAGCAGCCGCGGUAAUACGAAGGGUGCAAGCGUUAAUCGGAAUUACUGGGCGUAAAGCGUGCGUAGGCGGUUUCUUAAGUCUGCUGUGAAAUCCCCGGGCUCAACCUGGGAAUGGCAGUGGAUACUGGGAGGCUAGAGUGUGUCAGAGGGUGGUGGAAUUCCCGGUGUAGCGGUGAAAUGCGUAGAGAUCGGGAGGAACAUCAGUGGCGAAGGCGGCCACCUGGGACAACACUGACGCUGAGGCACGAAAGCGUGGGGAGCAAACAGGAUUAGAUACCCUGGUAGUCCACGCCCUAAACGAUGCGAACUGGAUGUUGGUCUCAACUCGGAGAUCAGUGUCGAAGCUAACGCGUUAAGUUCGCCGCCUGGGGAGU